rnacentral:rRNA from 1 species
UAGGCAGGUACAGCGGGAAGCCACCUGGCGACAGGGAGCGGAACCCGAAAGCCUGUCUCAGUUCGGAUUGGAGUCUGCAACCCGACUCCAUGAAGCUGGAUUCGCUAGUAAUCGCGCAUCAGCCACGGCGCGGUGAAUACGUUCCCGGGCCUUGUACACACCGCCCGUCAAGCCAUGGAAGCCGGGGGUGCCUGAAGUGCGCUGCCGCAAGGAGCGCCCUAGGGUAAAACCGGUGACUGGGGCUAAGUCGUAACAAGGUACC